rnacentral:rRNA from 1 species
UACGUAGGGUGCAAGCGUUAAUCGGAAUUACUGGGCGUAAAGCGUGCGCAGGCGGUUAUGUAAGACAGUUGUGAAAUCCCCGGGCCCAACCUGGGAACUGCAUCUGUGACUGCAUAGCUAGAGUACGGUAGAGGGGGAUGGAAUUCCGCGUGUAGCAGUGAAAUGCGUAGAUAUGCGGAGGAACACCGAUGGCGAAGGCAAUCCCCUGGACCUGUACUGACGCUCAUGCACGAAAGCGUGGGGAGCAAACAGG